UACGUAGGGUGCGAGCGUUAAUCGGAAUUACUGGGCGUAAAGGGUGCGCAGGCGGUCCUGCAAGUCAGGCGUGAAAUCCCCGGGCUUAACCUGGGAAUGGCACUUGAAACUACGGGACUGGAGUAUGGCAGAGGGAGGUGGAAUUCCACGUGUAGCGGUGAAAUGCGUAGAGAUGUGGAGGAAUACCGGUGGCGAAGGCGGCAUCCUGGACCGAGAUUGACGCUGAUGAGCGAAAGCUAGGGGAGCAAACGGG
rnacentral:rRNA from 1 species